AUGUUCACACCAAGUUGCGACACCUGAAGUUCAUUAAUUAUGACAGGGGAAGGAAAAAUGUAGGGCUUCCUUGUCUCUAAGUUACCGACGUCCAGGAAACCGUACACGGCCUUGCCAAGGAUCAAGGCAACUGGCGCAAUGCAUCAACCUCAACUAUUGCUGCUACAAGCCUGCAUCUUGCCAUUUCAACGUAAUGGAGCAAAAUAACCCCGGUCAAAGUGAGCAAGAGUUUGUGCAUUUGCACACUGUGAAGCAGUGGCUGCGAGGGGAAGAGCCAAAUAUGUUGCCACGCAAAAAGAAGAACGUGAAGAGAUUUGCUCUCCUGGUGAAGGGUGAAGAUUGUCAUCGAAUAAUGCAAGUAGGUGACACAAUAUCAAUGUUUCAGAAUGCUGCAAAAAUAUGCAUGUGGGUUCUUUUACUAUGCUUUGGUGUUGGUGCUUAUGAUUGCUACAGAAUGCUGGUAUGUACGUAUAUACUUUUGCUUUAUUUUUAACAGGGUUGUGAUUUGCUUA